rfam:Triticum aestivum genome assembly, contig: Triticum_aestivum_CS42_TGACv1_scaffold_195115_3AL
UAAGUACUCUCUCCGAUCCAUAUUACUACUUGUUUUAGAUUUGUCUAGAUACGGAUGUAUCUAGACACGAUUUGUCUAGAUACGGAUGUAUCUAGACACUACGUGUCUAGAUACAUCCGUAUCUAGACAAAUCUAAGACAAGUAGUAAUAUGGAUUGGAGGGAGUAUCGA